AGACAACAGACUACUGUCUAAGGAGGCGGAGUCUGGACAACACACUACUGUUAAGGGGGCGGAGAGGAGGAGACUACACCACACAAACCAAAUGCAUCAUGG